AUAUAUCUCUUAUUCGUCUUAUUUAUUUUAAUCGAUUUAAUUAUAUCAAUUCGCAAUAUCAUUACGGUUGUCUAUAACUUCUUGUAAUAAUAAUAAUUGUUGAUUGGUCCGUUGUAAUAGAGAAUAUUUUUGAACAACGUAGUAAAAGUAUAAACAAAAGAAGUACGCUUAAUUACGCCAAACUUCGCGAUCGUUCUUUGUUUUAACGUUCGAUCGGAAAAUUCGUUGUAAUCGUCGUUGUCGUGACCAUUUUUUUUCUUGUGUUUCUUGUGAUAAAAAUUCGUUUCUUCGUUUGUUUAAACAGUGUACAUUUUUGCGUAGGAAGAUUCAAAUCGUUCCAGUAAUCUUAUGGAGCUCAAAUAUAUGCCGUAGUUCCUGUUAGCAGAUGUACAAUACUCGUGAUUAAGUGACAAGAAGAAGAAGACGAAGACGAAGACGAAGAAGCAUCUAUCGUUAUGGGGUUACGUUUGAUGUUAAAUUUCCGGAGUUGACAGCUCGACGAUAAAAUGGUGCCGGUUAAGCGACAGCGGGAGUUACAAAAAUAUGAUGUACCGACUUCGACGCGAAAAAAAUGUCACUUCGAGUCCUUUCUAAUUUUAGGAGCGUAGAAAAAGAUAGCAAGAGAGAAAGAGAAAGAGAGAGAGAGAGGGAGAGAGAGAGAGAGAGAAUGAAAAAAGAAGAAAAAAAAAACAGACAAAUGGCGAAGACGAAGUACAAGACGAUUUGAUUGAAAAAUUCUUUCGUUUAAUGACAAAUUUUAAUGUCCAUCCAUUUUUCAUAUUAAAUAUAUAUCAUUUA